rnacentral:tRNA from 1 species
GCGGGCGUAGCCGAAUGGGCACAGGCGCCAGGUUUAGGUCCUGGUGGACGCAAGUCCGUUGUGGGUUCGAGUCCCGCCGCCCGCA